CAGCAGCCGCGGUAAUACGAAGGGGGCUAGCGUUGCUCGGAAUCACUGGGCGUAAAGGGUGCGUAGGCGGGUCUUUAAGUCAGGGGUGAAAUCCUGGAGCUCAACCUUGGAACUGCCUUUGAUACUGUUUGUCUUGAGUUCGAGAGAGGUAAGUGGAACUGCGAGUGUAGAGGUGAAAUUCGUAGAUAUUAGGAAGAACACCAGUGGCGAAGGCGGCUUUCUGGACGAAAACUGACGCUGAGGCGCGAAAGCCAAGGGAGCGAACGGGAUUAGAUACCCCCGUAGUCCCUGUCUCUUAUAC
rnacentral:rRNA from 1 species